rnacentral:rRNA from 1 species
UGCGUAGGCGGACUAAUAAGUCAGUGGUGAAAUCUCUCGGCUCAACCGGGAAACUGCCAUUGAUACUGUUAGUCUUGAGUUCGGUUGAGGUAGGCGGAAUGUGUAAUGUAGCGGUGAAAUGCUUAGAUAUUACACAGACCACCAAUUGCGUAGGCAGCUUACUAGACCGACACUGACGCUGAGGCACGAAAGCGUGGGUAGCGAACAGGAUUAGAUACCCUGGUAGUCC